GGUGAGUAACGCGUAUGGAACCUACCUAAAACAGGAGGAUAGCCUUCGGAAACGGGGAUUAAUACUCCAUAUUAUUUAUCAAUGGCCUCAUUGAUAGAUAAAAGCUACGGCGGUUUUAGAUGGCCAUGCGUACCAUUAGUUAGUUGGUAAGGUAACGGCUUACCAAGGCGAUGAUGGUUAGGGGUCCUGAGAGGGUAAACCCCCACACUGGUACUGAGACACGGACCAGACUUCUACGGAAGGCAGCAGUGAGGAAUAUUGGUCAAUGGGCGCAAGCCUGAACCAGCCAUGCCGCGUGCAGGAAGACGGCCCUACGGGUUGUAAACUGCUUUUCUAUGGGAAGAAUUCCUACCUAUAUAGGUGGGUUGACGGUACCACAGGAAUAAGCAUCGGCUAACUCCGUGCCAGCAGCCGCGGUAAUACGGAGGAUGCAAGCGUUAUCCGGAUUUAUUGGGUUUAAAGGGUGCGCAGGCGGUGGAACAAGUCAGUGGUGAAAGCCCGGGGCUUAACUUCGGGAUUGCCAUUGAAACUGUUUCACUUGAGUGUAGUUGAGGACGGCGGAAUGAGUUGUGUAGCGGUGAAAUGCAUAGAUAUAACUCAGAACACCAAUUGCGAAGGCAGCUGUCUAGACUACAACUGACGCUGAGGCACGAAAGCGUGGGUAGCGAACAGGAUUAGAUACCCUGGUAGUCCACGCUGUAAACGAUGAUCACUCGUUGUUGGCUACUUAGUAGUCAGUGACUAAGGGAAACCGAUAAGUGAUCCACCUGGGGAGUACGUCGGCAACGAUGAAACUCAAAGGAAUUGACGGGGGCCCGCACAAGCGGAGGAACAUGUGGUUUAAUUCGAUGAUACGCGAGGAACCUUACCUGGGCUUAAAUGCUGGCUGCAUUCACGCGAAAGCGUGAUUUCCUACGGGACCGCCAGCAAGGUGCUGCAUGGUUGUCGUCAGCUCGUGCCGUGAGGUGUCAGGGUCAAGUCCCAUAGGGAGCGCAACCCCUAUCGUUGUUUCCAGCAUGUAAUGGUGGGGACUCUAUCGAGACUGCCGGUGUAAACCGGAGGAAGGUGGGGAUGACGUCAAAUCAGCACGUCCCUUACGUCCAGGGCUACACUCGUGUUACAAUGGCCG
rnacentral:rRNA from 1 species